rnacentral:rRNA from 1 species
UGCAGUCGAACGAUGAAGCUGGAGCUUGCUCCGGCCGAUUAGUGGCGAACGGGUGAGUAACACGUGAGCAAUCUGCCCUUGACUCUGGGAUAACUGCGGGAAACUGUAGCUAAUACCGGAUACUUUCCUCGCUGGGCAUCCAGCGGGGAAGAAAGAAUUUCGGUCAAGGAUGAGCUCGCGGCCUAUCAGCUAGUUGGUGAGGUAAAGGCUCACCAAGGCGACGACGGGUAGCCGGCCUGAGAGGGUGACCGGCCACACUGGAACUGAGACACGGUCCAGACUCCUACGGGAGGCAGCAGUGGGGAAUAUUGCACAAUGGGCGAAAGCCUGAUGCAGCAACGCCGCGUGAGGGAUGAAGGCCUUCGGGUUGUAAACCUCUUUUAGCAGGGAAGAAGCGAAAGUGACGGUACCUGCAGAAAAAGCACCGGCUAACUACGUGCCAGCAGCCGCGGUAAUACGUAGGGUGCAAGCGUUGUCCGGAAUUAUUGGGCGUAAAGAGCUCGUAGGCGGUUUGUCACGUCUGCUGUGAAAAUCCGAGGCUCAACCUCGGACUUGCAGUGGGUACGGGCAGGCUAGAGUGCGGUAGGGGAGAAGGGAAUUCCUGGUGUAGCGGUGGAAUGCGCAGAUAUCAGGAGGAACACCAAUGGCGAAGGCACUUCUCUGGGCCGUAACUGACGCUGAGGAGCGAAAGCGUGGGGAGCGAACAGGAUUAGAUACCCUGGUAGUCCACGCCGUAAACGGUGGGUGCUAGCUGUGGGCCACAUUCCACGUGG